GGGCAAACUGGGGUACUUAUUGAGUGAAAAGCAUUAUCUGUUUUCCUCAGUGUUAUCUUAUUUUAUUCUUGCCUCUAGGUACCGUCCUUGACUCAUGAUAUGUGUUCUCUCAGUGGUUGAGUGGGAAGGUCCUGACCUACUUAAUAUACCUUCAUUGACCUGUGCCAUCUCUAUGCUCCCUGCCCUAUUUUUGAUGGACAUUCCAUGUACCAGGUUUGCAUGAGAUCUACAGGCCUUUGCCUUCCAGUGCCUUCAUCACCCUUUUGUGUUUGGCUUCAGGCAUACAGCAUUGUACUCAAUUUCCUGGGUCUGCAAGAACCAAGACCACAUGUCCGGGCAAGUUUUCAAGCCAAUGCCUUUU